rnacentral:sRNA from 1 species
GUCUAGUCCCGAUGGAAGUGACAUCCUUUUGUGCCGGUCCCGAGGCUUCGGGAGGCAUAAAAGAUAUAACGGACAGCGGGACAAGUU